UUUGCCCAUGUACGAUCAGUUUCAGCGGGCAAACCAUCAAACUGUCCGCUCCCGGCGCCAUUAGAGGGCAGUGGAUGGAGGUCUUCCGUCACUGCCAAACGCACGAGGUAAGGUGCAGGCAGAUCCACUGACUACCACUGUUACUGUACGUAAGAGUUUGUAAGAGUUUACUUAUGUUAUGGUAUAGCUAGUCGUCCUCUGUCAUCAUAAGAAGUGUUUAAUAUUUUUCUAUGUGCAUGGAAACACAUGUACGCGUAUUUAAGUAUCAGUAUUUGAUGUCACAUAAAGGUUUGCCUCUACACGAUUUUAUAUGGGUGUUUGCCUACCCUAUAGCCUCAGGGUUAGCCUCAGGGCAUCACAAGUCUUCACUCACGAGAGAGAGGGCACGAGAUUCAGAUGUGCGCAGAGAGACAAUAAGUUCUUACGGUCAAGCCUACCAAAAUAAAUUGUCAGAGGAAA